rnacentral:tRNA from 1 species
GGAGAGAUGCUCGAGUGGCUGAAGAGGCACGCAUGGAAAGCGUGUGUACCCCAAAAGGGUAUCGCGAGUUCGAAUCUCGCUCUCUCCG